rnacentral:pre_miRNA from 1 species
AAAACUGCUCAAAGGACUUUGCUGCAAACAUACUCAAAUUUGCAGCAAAGUCCUUUGAGCAGUUUU